rnacentral:lncRNA from 1 species
GGCUCGGGGAGCAGCCGGCGGCGCCGCGGCCGCGCAGCCUUUGUCUCGGGCCGCCGGGCGCGCGGGGCCCAGCGCAGGCACGUGCGGCUUGGGUGCAAAUCCUGUUUCUCUGGGCAGAGGCCACGCGGGGACGGAGGAGGCAGAGAGGACGGGCUGUGAUGGAGAAACGGGAGAGGAGCCGGCCAGGCGCCACCGUCACCACCAUCACCAACCACCACCACCAUCACCAUCACUGACUGUCGCCCAUCCCAGCUCCCCUGCCUCACCUCCCAUCUCAUAUCCCUGUGCAGUGCCAACUUUAUCAGAUCAUCUCUUUUUCACUGGGUACUACUUUGGAAAAGCGACAGAGUGCGCCAAGUCAGGAAUAAGUACAUCCGCUGUGGGACAUUUAUCUUCCCCUUUCUAUUUAGCUACCUCAAUUUUCUCAUCAGGAAAGGGGGCACAAUGGCAUUUCAUUCCUCUAAAUCACACUGAGAUGGCUGGGUUGCUUCCAGUUUUUCCAGUCCUGGCACUGGACGGUUAUACAUGCUUGGUGAUGAUGAUGAUAAAGUAAUGUCUUCAUUAAAUUGGACAGUUGG